UUAUACUUUAGAGGUUAGAGUAUUCAAAAACAAAUGAUUGGAGUAGAUUAGUUGGUUAGAACAAUGGUGAGAACUCAAGGCCCAAAGGGCCACUAGGAGGGUCAUAUGUACUAAAAACAACGUGCUAUUAAUGGAAACUAAAACGCAACUGAACAUAGGAAGAAUCGUUUUUGAACAAACUGUGAUGAGGCUUUUUGAAUUUAAUAUGCUGGCUGAUAUUUUAAUUGCAGCCUGGCCAUUGUAGGCAUAAUCAGCUUCAUCAUAAUGGUGCAGAUGCUGCUGCUGUACCUUCCACCUCAUUUCCUCCUGAAUGUUAACAUGAUGCCAAGUAAUCCAUCACUGCCAAAUGUUUUAUAGCUCCAGCGAAAAAACCACCAGAUUGUAGGAAACCAAUAUUGAAAUGGAUGAACACCCCGCCCUUUACGAGGGGUUUUUUUAUGACGGCCUUGUAUUGACCUACAUUUUCAAGCGGAGGAGAUAAAUGAUAUGAUAUAAUAUGAUGUCAACUUGGAACAGCAAGUUUAAUGAAUAACAUGCAGAGGAGUGUACCUGCCCCCAAGGUGAGUUCAUUAGGGAAAAACUCAAAAACACAAAAACCUCAUCAAUUUUUCCAAUCAAAUGAUAAACAAGGUCUCCCCUAACUGUAUCCGGCAGCAAAUGGAGAGCAAAUAUAUG
rnacentral:lncRNA from 1 species